CUAUUUUGUUUUUACAGCUAUGAAAAGGGCAGCUAAGGAACAUGAACAUUUAUAUGAAAGUGAUCUUUAAUAUAAAUGAUAUAUCACAUUCGAAUUUCAGACGUCUUUUUAGGUUUGAAAAAACAGAUAUUUUACAAUUAUGUAAUGCUCUUCUAUUGUCCACGAGAUUCGAAACUGUUGAUAGACACAUCAUUUCAAGUAAUUAUUUAUUUAUUUCUCUAUUUAAAUUUAAAAUGUAGAUAUUAUUUACAUGAAGAUUACCAAAUGUCCAUAUAUAUAGUUUGCACUUUGACCUUUCGCCCUGUUCUUUCUAUUUCGAUUAAAAACAUUCAAUUUUAUAUAUGGAAAAUAUGUUAAAAUAAAGAAAUUCGUAAUUAACUUUUAAUUUUUUUUGUUUAUUUACUUGUUCUUUAUCAAAGGAAAUUGUCUUAUUUUACUGAUGCUUGAAGUCUUUCAGAUUCGGAAAAUCUAAACUGAGACUUCUUCACAACUGCCAUAUUUUCAAGGAGAUCAUGUGACGUGCUGAACAAUUCUUAUUGGAAUUCUUCCAAUAAGAAUUCCAAUAAGAAUUCCAAUUCUUUCUUUAUAAGGGAGCGAUUACUUUGAUUGCCUAAACAUAAGAGAAGCUUCCCAUUAUAAGUAACCUUAAAAUGGGAAACUUCCCUUAUGUUUAGGACAUUAUGGGGAGCUGUAAGGUCAUAACAGUUUUUUAUAAUGGAAAAUACUUUUGCGCAAACUUGCUAUUCUGUCAUUUUUACUUUUUCCAGUAUUGAUGCAUUAAGUAACAUUUAAUUUUACCCAUAGCAUAUUUAACUUAAGAGUAUUUUUUACAUGAAUUAUCACCUUUUAUAUCAUAUUUAGGAAAUCAGUUUUUACAUUUACAUCAUUAAUGUUAUUAUUUAUUGUUUUGUUUAGUUUUAUCAGUUAAACAUUACUUAAAAGAGUAAUGUUUUUAAGUAUUAUUAUUAUUAUU
rnacentral:lncRNA from 1 species